rnacentral:rRNA from 1 species
AUACGGAGGAUCCGAGCGUUAUCCGGAUUUAUUGGGUUUAAAGGGUGCGCAGGCGGCCAUUUAAGUCAGCGGUUAAAUCUUGGGGCUCAACCCCAUUCUGCCGUUGAUACUGGGUGGCUUGAUUGCGGUCGAGGUUGGCGGAAUUCGUUGUGUAGCGGUGAAAUGCAUAGAUAUGACGAAGAACACCGAUUGCGUAGGCAGCUGACCAGACCGCAAAUGACGCUCAUGCACGAAAGUGCGGGGAUCGAACAGGAUUAGAUGCCCUGGUAGUCCGCACAGUAAACGAUGAAUACUUGUUUUCGGCGAUAUAAUGUCGGAGGCAAAGCGAAAGCGAUAAGUAUUCCACCUGGGGAGUACGCCGGCAACGGUGAAACUCAAAUGAGUUGACGGGG